rnacentral:rRNA from 1 species
GAUCAUGGCUCAGAUUGAACGCUGGCGGCAGGCUUAACACAUGCAAGUCGAGCGGGGUGAUGUAGCUUGCUACAUUUCCUAGCGGCGGACGGGUGAGUAAUGCUUAGGAAUCUGCCUAUUAGUGGGGGACAACAUUCCGAAAGGAAUGCUAAUACCGCAUACGCCCUACGGGGGAAAGCAGGGGAUCUUCGGACCUUGCGCUAAUAGAUGAGCCUAAGUCAGAUUAGCUAGUUGGUGGGGUAAAGGCCUACCAAGGCGACGAUCUGUAGCGGGUCUGAGAGGAUGAUCCGCCACACUGGGACUGAGACACGGCCCAGACUCCUACGGGAGGCAGCAGUGGGGAAUAUUGGACAAUGGGCGAAAGCCUGAUCCAGCCAUGCCGCGUGUGUGAAGAAGGCCUUUUGGUUGUAAAGCACUUUAAGCGAGGAGGAGGCUACUUAGAUUAAUACUCUAGGAUAGUGGACGUUACUCGCAGAAUAAGCACCGGCUAACUCUGUGCCAGCAGCCGCGGUAAUACAGAGGGUGCGAGCGUUAAUCGGAUUUACUGGGCGUAAAGCGUGCGUAGGCGGCGGGAAAGUCGGAUGUGAAAUCCCUGAGCUUAACUUAGGAAUUGCAUUCGAUACUGGGAAGCUAGAGUAUGGGAGAGGAUGGUAGAAUUCCAGGUGUAGCGGUGAAAUGCGUAGAGAUCUGGAGGAAUACCGAUGGCGAAGGCAGCCAUCUGGCCUAAUACUGACGCUGAGGUACGAAAGCAUGGGGAGCAAACAGGAUUAGAUACCCUGGUAGUCCAUGCCGUAAACGAUGUCUACUAGCCGUUGGGGCCUUUGAGGCUUUAGUGGCGCAGCUAACGCGAUAAGUAGACCGCCUGGGGAGUACGGUCGCAAGACUAAAACUCAAAUGAAUUGACGGGGGCCCGCACAAGCGGUGGAGCAUGUGGUUUAAUUCGAUGCAACGCGAAGAACCUUACCUGGUCUUGACAUAGUAAGAACUUUCCAGAGAUGGAUUGGUGCCUUCGGGAACUUACAUACAGGUGCUGCAUGGCUGUCGUCAGCUCGUGUCGUGAGAUGUUGGGUUAAGUCCCGCAACGAGCGCAACCCGGGACCUUAUUUGCCAGCGGGUUAAGCCGGGAACUUUAAGG